AUGUUCAAUCAUCUGCACGCACAACUACGAAAUGUUGUUGAGCGAACUUUUGGUGUUCUAAAAGCUCGCUUUCCAAUUUUAAGUAGGAAAGGAGGAAUUCCUUAUCCAUAUAAAACACAAGUCAAAAUUGUUAUGGCUUGUUGUAUUAUCCACAACUUCAUCCGGAAGGUUAAUCAUCAUGAUGAGUUGUUCGAGCUUUAUGAGCAUGGGGAAGCACAACAACAUGUUGACCAUGGUGAUCAGCAAGUUAGAGGGCAAACAAGAGAAGAUGAACGAGCUGCUGGUGAGAGAGUUCGUGCAGGCAUUGCUCGACAGUUGUGGAGUAAUCAUCAACAGCGUUCCGCUCAACAACCAGAAGAUGAUUGA
rnacentral:rRNA from 1 species